UGCUGUCAAGUUGAUCGCUAGCUGGGAAGCGAUCUGAGGGAGGCUGUAUUCAUCUUCAUUUGAUAAGUAUCUUUUGCAUAUAUAUUAAGGUGUAUAAGGUACAUUAUUGUUGGUUGUUUUUUUAGUUUGUCAUAUCCCAGCAUUUGUCAUCCACAUAUAUUCUUGGGGUUCUUUAGAUAUGGCUACCAGCAUAGAUUUCUUGUCUGAUAUGCAUAAACACCGUUUAAGGAAAUUUGAAGCAAUUUUCCAAGAACGUGACAAACCCCAACCCCUCAGGGGAUUAAAUGAAUAUUUCAAAUGUAAAGAAAAAUUAUUAUAUGGGGAAACAAAAAAAUGGUGGGAAAUAGCCUUCCUAGAAAAUUAUCUUAAGGAAGGACUUAUCCCUAGGGGUCUAAGGUUGGAUAAAACUCACGCUUUUGGUCUAGAUAGUGAAAAUUUUAUGAAUGAAUGGGAUGAGAUUUUAUCAAAUUGUUCAUUCCAGUUAAUGCAACUUAUCAUUAAGUAUUCAAAAGAUAUGAAAGAAAAAAUUGAGGAAGAAUUGGAAUUAUUAGAUACAGAUGUACAGAUUGAUCUAGGAAGUAUUGAGUACAAAGAGAAAGAUGAUUUGUUACAAAAAAAUGUUAAACAACUGGAUGAAAAAAUUGCUGAGACUAAAAGUAGGAAAUAUAGAAGGGACAAGGAAGAUACAAAUAAUAGUACUUUUUCCACCUUAAAUAGGAUAUCGAGAAGAAAACCCCAUUCCUAUAGAGGUUCUCAUUUUAAUUCUCAUUCCCCUUAUAGGAAAAAAACAAUAUCAUAUGAUCAUGGGAGGAGAAGUAAAGGUGACUCGUAUUUAAAGGAGAAUACUAAAAGGAUUAUACGUACUCCCCCAAGAGAACGAUUAGAAUCCAAUAGAAAUACACGUCCACUUGAAAAAAGGGGUAAUCGCUCCCUUUCAAGAGAACGAUUAGUAUCUCAAAAUGAAAAUGCCAAUACACGUCCCUUUGAAAAAAGGGGAGUUAGAUCCUACGCUCAAGUAGCCAGACAAGAUGAACAUAAUAGCAGAUUCAAUUCGCAAUAUAAUGAAAAGGAAGAAAAUUUUCAGGGGAGAACCCGAGGUCCCAAAGAGAAACCCAUUACAAAUUAUUUUCACCCGAGGACCACUCCUUGGGAACAUCGAAAUCGGUUCUCUCCUUUACAAAUAGAUUCUCCAAACAAGAGAACACGAAUGGAGGAUUAGAGGAUUCAGUACAGAAUCAGGUCAGUUUGCAGGCAAAAGCAAGAGAGAAAGGUAUAUUUAAUAUAUCUGGUUUACCCCUGUCGGAAAGUGAGAUACAGUUAUUAUCAAAGGGUAUGAAGUUUGCACCCAAUAGAACAUCAAAUGAGUUUAAUUUAUAUAUAGAUUUAAAAAAAUAUAUCAGGUCAUUAACAUUAAAGAGACAUUUUAUGUUGCAAUCUAGUCAGACAAUGACUCCAAUUAUGAAUGAGGAGGAACUAAGAAAUCGAAAAUUUAGACCUAAAUCACAUUUUUAUCCUACACAAAACAGAGGUCCAUAUUUAGAGAUUUUUGAAAAAUUAGUGGAUAGGGAGUUUAAAACAGUGAUUAAUAAACAUAAUUUGAAUAAUAUAAAUUUAACUAGAGAGGAAGAUAUAUGUUUAAAACAACUUAAGAAGAGAGAGGAUAUUAUAAUCAAGGAAGCAGACAAGGGAGGGGGUAUAGUAAUUAUGUCUACUAAUUAUUAUUUAAAGGAAGCAUCAAAUAUCCUAAGUGAUGAUGAAACUUAUAUUGUACUAACAAGGGACCCGACUAGGGAAUUCAAUUUGGCUCUAAAGAAUCUAUUAGAGGAAGCAAGAUCUAAUGAUACAAUUUCACAAGCGAAUUAUGAUUUUUUAUUUAGCAGUAAUCCGAGAAUUCCAAUUUUUUAUUUUAUUCCAAAAAUUCACAAACGUUUAUUUAAUCCCCCAGGACGUCCUAUAAUUAGUGGAGUAGAUUCCUUGUCCGCCAACCUCUCAGCUUUUGUAGAUUCAUACCUACAGAAGUAUGCUCAGGGCUCCCUAUCUUAUAUUAAAGAUACAAAAUCAUUCCUACAAGAAUUGGAAAAUAUUGAAUGGCAUUCUAGUUAUAGUUGGGCUACAUUGGAUGUGUCAUCCCUUUAUACUAUAAUUAGUCAUAAAUUGGGAUUGGAAGCUAUUAAUCAUUUCAUGACAGAAGACCAACAUUUACCUCAGGAUAUCAAAGAGUUUAUUUUACAUUCAGUUAAAUUUAUUUUAGAACAUAAUUAUUUUUUCUUUAAUGAUAAAUUUUAUUUACAAAUCACGGGAACCGCCAUGGGCACCAGGUUCGCCCCCAGUUAUGCCAACACCUAUAUGCGGAGAUGGGAGGAUCUUACAAUUUGGGCUGGUCAUGACUGGAGGGAGAACCUGGUGCUCUGGCGGAGAUAUAUCGAUGACGUUAUUAUUAUUUGGAAGGGGUCUUUUUCUGCUUUUCAAUGUUUUGAAAACUAUUUAAAUCAGAAUAAAUAUAAUUUAAAAUUCACUUCUGUAUGG
rnacentral:lncRNA from 1 species